UGAGCAAUCUGCCCUUCUCUCCGGAAUAAGCGUUGGGAACGACGUCUAAUGCCGAAUACGACCUCCUUUCGCAUGAUCGGAGGUGGAAAGCUCCGGCGGAGAAGGAUGAGCUCGCGGCCUAUCAGCUAGUUGGUGUGGGUAAUGGCCCACCAAGGCGACGACGGGUAGCCGGCCUGAGGAGGGUGACCCGGCCACACGUGGGACUGAGACACGGUCCAGACCUCCGUACGGGAGNAGCG
rnacentral:rRNA from 1 species